AUACAAUGAUGGUGGUGUGGGUCAUCGGAUCCAACUCUGAAGAGAUGGAUCAUUGGUCUGAUGUAUCC
ensembl:snoRNA